UUACCUCUGGGGCUACAGCAGUGCAGUGAGCUUUAGUGGAUCAAUACUUUAGUCUUGUCAUGCUAAUUGCUCAUUGGUUGACAUUCAUGAUCCUUCCUUGCUCCCUCCCUAUGUAAACUCUUUACAGCUGGAACAGCGAGAUGCAAAAAUCCUGAACCUUCAAAGCCAGCUCCUGCAGAAGAGAGAGGGCCUGGCAGCUGAGCUGGAUGCUUCAGGAGCAGAGGAUCUAUCAACUGCAGACCAAGCAUAGGGAGACGCAGGCAGACCUGGAACAGAAACCCAGCCAGCGCCAGCCGCUCCGACAGUACUUGGUGGCCGGAGAGUCGGCAGCAGGAAGCAUGAGGCAGGAAAUGACCCAAUCCUUGAGGUCUGCUUAUAGAUAAAGAAAACAAAGAUCCAGCUGGGACAGACUCGAAUGGAUGCACCUACUUUCAUGCCCAGGCUUUCAGAGGAGGUAAAUGAGGAAUAAGAGGUCUGCUUCCUGCUAGCAUUGUCAUUGGCCUCCAUGCUGUGCCUAAGCAUCGUGCCUAUGAAGACAGUAAGCUCAUUCCUACAUAGGAUGAGUACAUCAAACAGUAGACGUCUUUCUCUGGUUAGUAAUUCUUUGUAUUUUCAUGUUUUGUAGUUUCAGAAAAGACACAUCUUCCCCACCUGCCCCCUCUCUCUCUUCCUUACCUCCUUCCUUCUAUAUUUAUUGAAUAAAUAAGAUGAUCCAGGCCCUGUGCUAGACAUUGAGGAUACACAGAUAAAUGAAAUAUAGUCUCUGUCUUCAAGGGACUCUUUGGUAAGUAAGAGAAAUAAGAAUAACCACUUAAUUAUAAUCCUUUGCAAUGAGUGCUCUGACCAUGUGUACUAUAGAAAAUGCCAGAAGUCAGGAGGCUGCAAAGAGAAAGUGACUUUGGGGCCAGGUCUUAAAAGAUGAACAGACAUUUACAACUGAAGAAGAGGGCAUGAUAAAAGGGGCUUGGAGGAGCUGUUGCCUCAAGCAGAAGGGACAGCAGGUGUG